GAGACGGACAGGCCGGGGCGGGCCGCGCCCGAUCAGGCACGGCCGUUCGCUAACCGGCCGCCAAGGGAAGCGGGCGCGGGGGCUGUGUCCCCGUCCUGGGGUAACGGCGCGACGCCCUGCAGCGGCCGGGGGGCGGCCGCAGCGUGGGGUGCCCUGCCCUGCCCUGCCUUGCGCUGCCCUGCCUUGCCCUGCCCUGCCUUGCCUUGCCCUGCCGCUGCAAGCUCGGGCCUCGCCAACGCGGACAGCAAGCCGCUAAACCGGCGCGUAUCGCCCAGGCGUUAUUUGCAGAGUCGGGCCCGGGAGAGGAAGAAGUAAAGGAAGAGGUGAAUUUGCCGGUGUACUUACCUGUCUGCUCAGCUGGGCCGUCUUCCCCCAGAACGUUACACAUGCCUGGUAUCCAUCCAAGACACCCCAGAUGUCGCUUAGGAAGGCUCACACUUAUGUUGUCAUCAUUCUCUGAAUAGUCAUGCCAAGAACGUAGCCAAGAGAUGGCCAAUAGGUACAUUCAGUCCGAAAGAGGCUGGGCAAGUCUGCAAGUUCCUAGGAGAUAAAGCCCACUGGAUGUAACAGGGAGACCUUUUAUAUUCUGGGGCUGGCUGGGAGUCUCUUGCAGACUGUAGAGCGGUUGCCAGAUCAUGCUUAGGAGAAGUUAGAUGGAGAAUACAGAAUGAAGCAGUGGAUCUGUCUCCAGGGUUAAAAGAACCAAAUGGGAAAGGUCUGGGAAUUCUAUGGAUGGGACCUGGUGUAUGCAUUGGGCAACUGCCAGAUUUGCCCUGGACUGACUGCUAGCCAGAAAAGCAGAUUCCCACCUUCACCUCAUUUUCUUCACCUGAACCAGCAAUGAUGGGAUGGAGUAUAUGUGUUGUGUGGAGCUGGAACCGGCUCAUCCCUCCCAUGAUGGGUUCUUGCACAGAAGACGAUGUUAUCUGUGUCUUCCACGGUGGUAUGUUAGGCUGUGUGUGUCCCUGUAUCAGGAAUGCUUUUAAGAAACAAUAUAAUAUUUGAAAUUACA